ensembl:lncRNA
CUGCCUGGUUUGUCACUUGGGUCGCCGGAGUUACGGAGCGGUCACGAUUGUAAAGAUGUUUACCUGCCUAUCAGUUCCUUACUUCCGGGGUUAAUGAAAGGUCAGACACGAGCGGCAGACAGAACCGAAAGGACAGCUUUGGACGUUUGAUUUGGGCGAGAGCCUCGCCCAACUGGACUCGAGGGCCUGAUGCCAUCCUCCCAGUGAUGUUAAACCACCUCAGUAGAGGUAACCUACCUGGCAGGAACGCAUGGGUGGAGGCUGGCCGUGGUCAUGGUGAUGGAGUGGCUAGGAUGCUGUACACCUCCCACCACUGGACUGCUGACCAUGGGGCCUAACGUCAGACAGACAGACACAGACGGACGGACGGACCUGUGUGUGGUCCCACUCUCAGCUCCAGUGUUGCUGUCCAGAGAGAGCAGGGCUGAGAGGAGCUGGCUGCCUGAAUUGGUGCUGCAGACCUCCUUGACCUCCUCCUGAUUGAGUUCUCCUGGAUGUUUCCAGUGCGGAGCACAUGUUGCCCCUGUCAGAGGUGUAACCGUGGCACCCAAGUCCGUAUGACAGACCUUACGAACACCUGAUGACAUCAUCAUCAUCAUGAUCAUAGUCAUCAUCAUCUCCAUCGCCAUCAUCAUCAAACUGUAGCCCUUCCCUGGGUCAGGCACAAGUCCAUCUCAAGUCAUGUCACCUAUGGGUUGGUUGCGCUUCCAGGGUUAUGAAACACUGAUGUUUAUGGGGCUUGUGUUCAGGAUGUGGUUCAGGGAUGUUGAGGGUGGUUCAGUGUCAUUAACAAGGUCCAUAAUGUUUACCAGGGCAGACUUGAGGGCCCUUGAGGGGCCACCCACCACCCCGACGUCAUCCGUGACCAGCGGUAGGCCAACUGGGCGAUGUUUGAAACAGGCGAUGAUACUCCAUCGUAUGCUCCCUUUAGCGUUUUAAAGAGGAGUUUCUGUCACUAAUAUGUGAAGGGAGGAGGUUACUUGGUGUAUUUGUUAUUUGUAGCUAUAUGGCUAGAAACAAAACGGCCCUCAAAAAGGAAUUUGAGUAUGUUAAGUACAUUCACAUUGUCCAUUUACUAAUUAAACCGUCGACCAUGAUCAUCAUAGUAAUACCGUCUUGAUAAUGGAGCCACAGUGCAUCCUAUAUGAGAGGCGUUCAUUGGAUAAACGCUAAGUAUCUCUGGUCAGAAUGUAUGUCUGUCAGGAUGACUCCAGUGACUUGUGCUGGCUUUCCCUCAUUAGAUCGUGCAUGGGCCCCGACUCCCCUGACCGUACUUUAAUUAACCGGCUAUUUAAAGCUCAGCCCAGGCCCGUUAUAUGGAGGGCUGAUAAAAUGGAAAAGGACACCAGGCUGAAACUCAAGUGUGCUUUGUCAGACGACGCGAUGAAGGAGGGAUCACCCACCCACAACUGGGCUGUAGAUUGACGGAGUUUGGAAUAGUCUUCUUCAUCAAGGGAGUGGAUGAGCUCACAAUGCCAACAGGCAGACAGUGAAGGACUGGCCAGCCGUACAGCUGACCUGAGAGCAAUGACAUGAUAACAAGGCCUAUCUGAACGAGGGGGAAAAACAACCGCACCGAUCCUGACCGGUGAAAUAGGGUGUAAACCGCUCAGAACCUUACGC